rnacentral:rRNA from 1 species
UACGAAGGGGGCUAGCGUUGUUCGGAAUUACUGGGCGUAAAGCGCACGUAGGCGGCUUUGUAAGUCAGGGGUGAAAUCCCGGGGCUCAACCUCGGAACUGCCUUUGAUACUGCAAGUCUCGAGUCCGAUAGAGGUGAGUGGAACUGCGAGUGUAGAGGUGAAAUUCGUAGAUAUUCGCAAGAACACCAGUGGCGAAGGCGGCCCUCUGGACGGUGACUGACGCUGAGACGCGAAAGCGUGGGGAGCAAACAGG